GAUUAUUGUCGAGUAAGCAGUCUAGCAGUACUGCAGCCACUGAGGAGGAGGAGAAGGAGGAGAAGAAGAAGAAAAAAAAGGGGGGACUUGGCCUUAAGCCAAUAGCAGCAACCAUCAGAAUUAGCUCAUUGUUAAGAAUAUAGCUGGCUGGCUACAGACGUAGUCAGUUGGUUAAACGCAGCCUUGGGAUGGGUGCUUCCUCCCAAGGCUGCAGGCUGCCCCCUUUUGAAUUUGCAGUCAUUUUUCUUACCAACCGGCGUUGUCCGGUUUUCUGUGUCAGUAAUGUAGCUACUGCAUUUUCUAACUUGCAGUAAAACGAGAGAAUUCUGUCCAACUGCUUUGCAAUCAAGACGCUGCAGUCCUUGUACUGCUACAGAAGAUAAUGACACAAGCUUCAGCUUCUAAGAGAAUCCAGCACUCACCAUGGAGGAUUGCCUGAGGGCUGUUUUCAGGUUCCCUCCGCUUGCCGGACCGAAGGGGAACACCAACGCAAAAUCAACAUUCCUUUCAAAAGACGUUGGAUGAACGGGCCUGCAACUACACCGAUAGAUAGAAAAAAAUCUAUAAAAAUGGUAUCCUCCUGUACAUUUUUAUUUCCUGUAUCAUGUAUCCUCCAUUAUAAUUCUUAAAAAAAAAAAAGUAGUGUGUGAGUAUAGAUGAGAUCAUGACACACAUGGGAUCUUCUCUCCCUUUAUGUUCAUGUAAUAAAUAACGUGUAGGUAUAUUUGGGACUCUAAGCCUUGAUGAUGCAUUGUUUUUUUUGGUUGUGGAGGGGAGAGGUAAAACUCCAAAUGACGCAAACUCGAGACAGACCUGACAGCAUCAGCGAUCCUACAGUUCGUUUACUGACCCCACAGACGGGCCUCAUUUGAGGCCCUCUAAACCCUUGCAGCAGCAUGUCUUCCACUCGUCAACUGUUCGCAUUCAAAUGCCUGGAACCUUCUCUUUAUGUGUACACACUCUUGACAGUAUUUUACUGAGGCUGAGAGUCCCCACCUUCCAUUUAGUUACUAAGCGCUUUGUAGUGUUAAUCUCUUUUUCGUUUUUGUUUUUGUAAUUUUUUUAAAAAUAUAUCUUUGCUAGUAUAGAUCCAUAUGUUAGACAUGUAUGUUGUGAUGUAUAGAAGUAGCUGUAGAAAUGCAUUGUUUCCUUGUGGUAAGUGACCGAGAUGCUGCCACGGAUUUGAGACACUGAUGAAUGGUGCUAUUUUGGACUUUUAUCUGCUCCUUGGUAAGGUAGCUCCGAUGGGUUUUUAUUUUAUAAUUUCGUGUUCUAAGAAGGUGUUGGUUCUUUGUCUGGUUGUUGUAAUUUGGUCUGGAUUGACUUGUUUUUCUGUUGUUUUCUGUGCGGCUUUCACAUUGGGUGUGUAAAAAAAAAAAAAAAAAAUUAAGGGAUUUUUGAAAGGCUGGCGGUUUAGAUAAGAAAUGGAUUACAUGUAAAUGGUAAAUGUAAGGUUAUUACUGAAAUAAGUGAGGCGUGGGAGCAAUCACAAAACUGCAAUCAUAAUACUAUUUUCCCUUUAAUACCAAGAUGUGCAAUUAAAUGGAUGAAAUCUAGUUCCCAGCACUAGGCACUUUUUGAAAAUGUAUUUUUCUUAUUUUAAGUAUCAUAGUUGAGUGACCAUGUGGAUACCAUGAGUGCAUUCUUUUCCCUUUUACAUUGAAUGCAAGUCCCAUUUCUGAAACAUUGUUUAAUAGACAAUAAUCUGUCACAAAGCAAUCACAAGGAAAACUAGGAAAGACACCAGCAUUUAUGAAUUGAAAGUAUAGUAGAUUUAAAUGGCUUUGUCCAUGUAAUGUAAUAUGCGGCUUAAUGCAAUUUAAUAAAAUGUGAUUAUGAAAUAUAGCAUUUAAAAGCUGUAUGAAAGUAGGAUCUAUAAUGCCAUCCACUCCAGAUGUGUGUGUUUGGUCCCAGGUGUGUCUUACUUCAGGGUUUUCACAUUGCUGCACCUAUUUGUACACCAGCACAAUGCUUUGCAUACCAGAAGUAUGACUGAUGUACUAAAUGAUCAAGAUGCAGUUUCUAAUCAAGGCAAAAAUGUAGCGUGAACUAAACACAGGACAAUCCUUUCAUGAAUGUCUUUUAAGUGAUCAGUCAUACCAAUAUACAAUACUUGAAUCAUUUUGUAAGUAAUCUUAAGAGCAUCCUUGAGGGGGGGAAAAAAUAAACCAAAAAAGCUUAAUUUUGUUUUGCUAGUGAUUUAACAUCAAAGUAAUAUCAUCCAGCAUUUGCAGUUUUGUCUUUGCUUCCUAUUAAUUCAUACCAUCUACGGUUCUAAAUGAUAACCAACUUGAAAGCCCACCUUAGUUUCUUUGCUGUCUUCCGUUUUUUUCCUCAAUAGUGGGGACUCUCCCAGCUUGUUCUGAUCUUUCCCCUGAUUUUUAAAUUUUCGACUGCAUGCUUUUUUCCCCUUUUUCUUUUGUAAUUUUUUUUUUUCUCGUUGAAAUUGUCUUUGUUAGAUUAGGAAUGCCGGCUGACUUGUACAUAGCCAGUGACUAUAUUAAGCAGGUUCUGCAUUAGUUAGUUGAGGUAUACUGUGUCUGAGGUAAGUUGUGUUUGGUUGAUAAAUACCAGCUUUUGUAACUGUGAUCUUUAAAAAGUACUAUAAGUAUCCUAUGUACUUUUGCCUAUUUUAUCAGUAGUUAAAUAAAUAUGCAAGCUCUUAAA